rnacentral:rRNA from 1 species
GACGAACGCUGGCGGCGUGCUUAACACAUGCAAGUCGAACGAUGAAGCCGGAGCUUGCUCUGGUGAAUUAGUGGCGAACGGGUGAGUAACACGUGAGUAACCUGCCCUUGACUCUGGGAUAACUGCGGGAAACUGUAGCUAAUACCGGAUACGACCCUCGGAGGCAUCUCCUGGGGGUGGAAAGAAUUUCGGUCAAGGAUGGACUCGCGGCCUAUCAGCUAGUUGGUGAGGUAAAGGCUCACCAAGGCGACGACGGGUAGCCGGCCUGAGAGGGUGACCGGCCACACUGGGGCUGAGACACGGCCCAGACUCCUACGGGAGGCAGCAGUGGGGAAUAUUGCACAAUGGGCGCAAGCCUGAUGCAGCAACGCCGCGUGAGGGAUGACGGCCUUCGGGUUGUAAACCUCUUUUAGUAGGGAAGAAGCGAAAGUGACGGUACCUGCAGAAAAAGCACCGGCUAACUACGUGCCAGCCGCCGCGGUAA